CCGAAAGUCAGGAAGCUCCGGAUUGGAAAGUCAUUAGACGGCUACGAAAGACUCACGCUGAUGUUAAGUAAGUUCAUCGAAAUGGGCGAACCAAAUAUUGGCCUUUUCUCUCUAUUUUCCAUCUUCAGCUAGCCGAGUAAUAGAUUUCUUUUUCUCUGAGUUCUUCAUUGGUUCUCCGGCACUUCCACCACCACCAUUAUCACCAGAAUCUAUACCUUCAUCUACUUCUUCUUCUCCUUUUCCUUUUCAGUUGGUCAUGAAGAUCUUUUCGCUGACCUUCAAGAGGGAAAAUAUUGUAGUUUUUCUAAGAGAGAGAACCACUACCAAAAAGGGCAAAAGGUGUACCAAAAAUAAGAGGUACCGGAAGCAUUCGAGAGAACUCGGGUUAUAUUCAGAAGGUUAAUCUCAGUCAUUGAAAAAAUGGGUUGAUGAUGAUAUCAAUACUAACAAACUCGGGUUAUAUUCAGAAGAACUCAGGUGGCCAUUGCCGUAAAGAAACUACGCCAACCUUCAGUAUAUCUGCUACAGAAAGGCGCAAUGUAUACUAAGGGCUUUUCCAGGAUCGGCACUAUCAGACAAGUGAAUUGACUGAGCUUGGCCAUACUGACAGAGAUCAGUUUGUGUUAUCUGCUCCUCACCCAACACCCGCUACAGUAUUCCCUCAUGUAGUAGCGACAUGGUGGCUAGAACAGGUCAGAUCGAUUGUACUGACAUGUUAACACAUAGUUGGAAGCUGGGAAGAUACCACUACAAUAGAUUUUAUGCUUGAAGUGUCUGAGUCGAGAAAUGCUUAUCGCCAUCUUAAUGUUCUGAAUACGACAACUCCUGUACCCAUUUAUAGGCCUUUAAUAUGAACCUUUUACAGAGCAAGAAUUGACUCUGAUAAUAUGGAUCAUCUUCGUAAACCACUUAUUACCUAAGUUGAAGACUAAUCUCACACAAUUACAUGGUGAUUAUUGUGUAUGAGUAAAUUUUGCAAUGUGUGUUAUUUUGCUUUAUUUAAAAAUGUUUUAUUUCUUAUCUAUUAUCAUUUUUUUCCUCAUGUAUAGGGUGUUUGUUUCGAUGUAACCAAGCAGCAUAUAAUAGGUAUAUAACUACUAUAUUUUUUUCAAUUAUGCUUA